rnacentral:misc_RNA from 1 species
UUUCCGUAGGUGAACCUGCGGAAGGAUCAUUAAAGAAUUUGCCCCGUCCUCUCGAGGAUGGGUCCUCUUCUAAACCGUGUAUACAUACCUUUGUUGCUUUGGCGGGCCGCCGUCUCGGCGUUGGCUUCGGCUGACUGUGCCCGCCAGAGAACCCCAACUCUUCUGUUUAGUAUUGUCUGAGUACUAUAUAAUAGUUAAAACUUUCAACAACGGAUCUCUUGGUUCUGACAUCGAUGAAGAACGCAGC